ensembl:snRNA U6 U6 spliceosomal RNA
UUGCUCUCUUCAGCAGCACACAGACUAAAAUGGGAACAAUACAGAGAAGAUUAGCAGGGCUCCUGCACAAAAAUGACGCAUAAACUCAGGAAGCAUUCCAUAUUUUU